rnacentral:rRNA from 1 species
GACGAACGCUGGCGGCGUGCUUAACACAUGCAAGUCGAACGGAAAGGCCCUGCUUGCAGGGUGCUCGAGUGGCGAACGGGUGAGUAACACGUGGGUGAUCUGCCCCUUACUUUGGGAUAAGCCUGGGAAACUGGGUCUAAUACUGGAUAGGACCAUGCUGUAGGUGGUGUGGUGGAAAGAUUAGUUUCGGUAAGGGAUGAGCUCGCGGCCUAUCAGCUUGUUGGUGGGGUAAUGGCCUACCAAGGCGUCGACGGGUAGCCGGCCUGAGAGGGUGGACGGCAACAUUGGGACUGAGAUGCGGCGCAGACUCCUACGGGAGGCAGCAGUGGGGAAUAUUGCACAAUGGGCGCAAGCCUGAUGCAGCGACGCCGCGUGGGGGGUGACGGCCUUCGGGUUGUAAACUCCUUUCAGGCAUGACGAAGCCCUUGUGGUGACGGUAGUGGUAGAAGAAGCACCGGCUAACUACGUG